AAUAGAUACCCUGGUAGUCCAUGCUGUAAACGAUGAGUGCUCAUAUUUAGAAUUUUUAGAUAUUAAGCUAACGCGUUAAGCACUCCGCCUGAAAAGUAUAAUCGCAAGAUUGAAAUUCAAAGGAAUUGACGGGAGUCUACACAAGCGGUGGAGCAUGUGGUUUAAUUCGAUAAUACGCGCAGAACCUUACCAACUCUUGCAAAUUUUAUUAUAAAAUUUAUUAUAAUAAAACAGGCGUUGCACGGCUGUCGUCAGCUCGUGUUGUGAAAUGUUUGGUUAAAUCCUUUAACGAGCGCAACCCCCUAUUAUUAAUUGCUACUUUUAUUAUAAAAAAUUUUUUAUAAAAAAGCACUUUAAUAAAAUGUCAAUGAUAGGUUGAAGGAAGGUAGGGAUGACGUCAAGUCUUCAUGGCCCUUAUGAGUUGGGCUACACACGUGCUACAAUGAUAAUUACAAUGAGAGGCAAUAAUGAUUAAAAGUUGGAGCAAAUCUUUAAAGAUUAUCUUAAGUUCGGAUUAUGGGCUUGCAACUGCCCAUAUGAAGUUGG
rnacentral:rRNA from 1 species